GAUGAAGAACGUAGCGAAAUGCGAUAAGUAGUGUGAAUUGCAGAAUUCAGUGAAUCAUCGAAUCUUUGAACGCACAUCGCGCCCCUUGGUAUCCCGAGGGGCAUGCCUGUUCGAGCGUCAUUUCACCACUCAAGCCUGGCUUGGUGUUGGGCGACGUCCCCUUUAGGGACGCGCCUCGAAACGCUCGGCGGCGUGGCACCGGCUUUAAGCGUAGCAGAAUCUUUCGCUUUGGAAGUCGGGGCCCCGCCUGCCGGAAUACCUACUCGUAAGGUUGACCUCGGAUCAGGCAGGGAUACCCGCUGAACUUAAGCAUAUCAAUAAGCGGAGGA
rnacentral:misc_RNA from 1 species